UUGCCGCCCCUAACGAGCAGCGCCGCUUCGAGCUCGCUGUCGUUCGAGUCAGCAACAACACCAACGCCUGCGCCGUUGCCGGCACUCAUCGGAAACGCCGCGGCCGCGCUCGCGACCUUUGACAUCCUCAAAUCCUUCUUUCCAGAUAAGUGUCACACUUAAUAUCCGUGCCACUUUACCAUUGCAGUUCAUCACUAGUUUUUCUAAGCUCUUCAAAAAAUGUUUCUGUAGAUCGAUCCUAUCCAUGACCUAUUGCUUGUGGGAUAUCUGACUGCCUCCGCUACUAAAUUGAUCACGUUUUAGAUCCCUCUUGUUGCACCAAGUGGACUCCACUACUGUUUCUUCACCUAGCAGCUCCACCAUACCUAGGUUUUUCUUUUCUUUUUCAAAUAUUUUCCAGAUCUAUAGUUGUAACCAAAUUUGAACAUUUUCUGUUUUCGAUUGCUUUGACCCGGACUUGGCUUCACCACUUGUCAAAUUGUGAAUUACACUGGUAUUUUUUGUCCACUUACACCAUUGUCAGCUCUCAAAUCGUAGUAAUCCAUAGAAGUUUCUUCAUAUUCCUUAGACCUUUGCUCAUUUAAUAAUCGCUACUCGGGCGUUCAUAGCUGGCUCGUAAUUUGAUUUGCAACUGCCAUCUCACGGACAUCAAAAUUAUUUUAUCGUCUUAUACCUCUAAAGCGCUCUUACUCAUCCUUUGAUGCUUGCUCCAUAUAUCAUAGUCGGCUUAUACUUGUUUUUCAUACCUUGUAGUUGGGCUUUAUUUGCAACUGAACUCAUGGCUCCCAAGACCAACAAAGCUGUCAACUGGGCUAAAUCCAGCAUGUCCCCACUUAUGCUGGACAACUUGGUGAACACCGGGUUGCUCCCAUCCCAAGCCGAAAUAGAAUGGCGCGCACCCGCUGAGGAGAUCCAUCCACUACGGGGUCAGAAUCAGGCCUCAAGAUCUUGGACCCAACUCAGUUUUGAAUUUAAGCCAAUUUCAAGUGUUCUGUGAAGUAUAUCUCCAGAUUGAGCCGUCUAUUAGUUUCUUCCAACAUUUUUCUAUCUCAACCAUCAAACAGAGCACAAGGGAGGACCGAGCAUAGAACUUGGAGGAGCAACCAUCCAAAGAAGGAAAAGCUCGACCUUUCCCGACGUAUCACUGGUGAGCCACUCGAAAGGAUGGCACAAGCCCAGUUUUAUUGCAAGGAUACUUCACCAGCACGGCAACAUCCUUUGUCGGGUUAUAGACUAGACCGGCUUGACGCUUCGACGAUCUUUCCAGGUGUUGGAUGAACUGGUGAAUCCAACCCCUUAGCCUAAGGGGCUGUCUUAUGCAUGAAUAUAUCGAUGAGUUGAAAGACCCUCUGCGCUUCUUCCAGGUUGACUUGACAACAUAUGAGCUCAUAAAAUUCACCAAGAAGCUUCUAUGCGAGACCCGAGGCAAAAUUGGCCUUGUAGGCUUGGCCCUCUUCUUUGCACGCAACCCGGCACAUCCAUCUGUAUAUACAGGAUAUGCCGAACAAAACCGAGUCACAGGUGGCCGGCUUAUAGAAAGACCAGGAAGAAAUGAAGCUUCGAGAAGAGGCAGAAAGCUUGUCUUCAGAUUUCCAAAGGUCCGUUCUUCUGUCACAGACACAUAGAAAAAACCAAGGCUAACUUUGAGCAAGAAAAAGGCCGCCUUAUUGAAACGCAUAGAGGAGGCCGAGUUGAAACUCCAGCCGGUGACCCAAGAACUGCAGAGACUUAAGGGUCACAUUACUGACAUGUGCAUAGCCAUCUUUGGAAAAAAACAUCAUAAUGUGUUGGAACUCCCUCCUGUGAAGCUGAAGGCCGUUUAUAAAUUUCUGGAACAGCUAUAUGUGGGUGGUGCUAAGUGUGUAAUGUCAAUCAACAACACCAAGGAGCCACCUCACCAUAUUACGGAUAUGAUCAGGGAAUUGUCCACUUUCCAGAAUGGAUCCAGGAGUUGAAGAAGGAGGCUUGCCGGCAAGGGGCUACGUGCUCACUCGCACGUGCGAAGGCUUAUCACCCGGAGAUGGAACUAACUCUUCUAGAUGAUGGGUUCCCAGAAUUCAGCGUAGACAACUCACUUUUUUACUGAAAAGGACUAUCUAUGCUGUGUGAAGGAGAGCCGAGUAGCAGCAACGAGGAUUGCAGAAACAUUGGAUCUAACCAAAUUUCAAGCCGGCUAUUCUAAAGCCGAGAAACGCAGAGAUCUGCCCAAGCCAUAACCCGUCGUGCUGAUUCCUCCACGUAAGUAAUCUUUUGCCUCCGACGUCGGCACUUCGACUUUGAUCAAGGAAGACAUGGUGUUUGAAGCUCUGUCUUCAAUUCAGUGGGUGGAAGAUGACCCCCAAACUUAAGGAGCAGAACAGGCGGCCCCUAAAAUGCCGGAAGAGUCAACACAUGCUGACCCGGCUUCAACUAGUGUAGAGGGAGAUCAAGUCAACGUCAACCCGGAGGUCUCCACCACCGGCUUACAACAGUGAGCUUCUUCAAUUGUGAUGGUUGCGUUGAAAAACAUGGUGAAAAUAGCCUGGAUGUGGCUUUGUAAUUUUUGGGUGUGAGAAAAACUCCCAUGUUGUUGCAAUGCCAUCGUGCAUUGAAUACUUCACC